CUUAUAAAUCAUGAAUAAAUAUAAAAUACACAGACCGAAACUUGAGAUUUCUCAGAGAGCUUAAUUAAGGGAUUGAUUUUAUUAUUUACACUGAAUUAGAAACACAACCAUUUCUUCCCUUCAACUAUAACCAGAGAGCAUAUUUUACAGAGGAAAUUUGAGCUGAACAUCCCAGAAGAUCAACUAGCAGCAUAUGGAGAUAAGCCUGGACAGGAGCUCUAGGCUUUACUCCACAUUCACACUCUCCAGAGAGGACACACUCAACAACACAAGUGGAACUGCAUAUGCCAUGAGUCUUAAUAAAUAAAAGAGUGGUCUAACCUCGUUUGAGAUGAUUUUUGGUUUCUCCUGGAUCUCUGGAUACAAUCAGUAAAGAAGGGUCAGCAGAAUAAAAGGACAGUGAGCUAGGGCCUAAAGACCCUAAGCAAAGAAAAAGACAUUGGAGGUGGGAGAUGCACUGGAUGGAAAAGCUGCUCAAGAUGGACGGCACUUCAGAAAGGGAAGGAGGCAAUUCCCAACAAAAAUGCUAACUGCCUGGGCCCAGGAAGCCAUGUUUAAGUCCUAAGUGUGUUUAGACCAGAGAGCCUCCAUGUCUUUUGUUUCACUUGUGUCCAUAGUCUUUUUUUCAGUUUUCCAAGAAAUGCUACUUGAAACUAUAAAAAUAAUUCAAAUAUUUUAAGCUAAAUAUAUUCUCCUUGCUUUAGUUUCUCUUUUUUCUUAAUUUUUUGUGCCUGGAAGAAUAUAAUUAGUUCAACAUGGUUGCUUAGAGAGACAUUUUCCAGGUCCAAGAAGGCAUACUAUUAGACAUUUAUUCAAAAAUGGGCUCAGGGAAUAAGAAUCUCAAGUAAAUAAUUCAUUAUAUUUGAAAUAAAUGCAACUACAUUAUUGUACUCUUCUAAAAAAUACAAAUAAAUGCUCUUUUUGCAAAAUAUUUGUAGCAUCUGAUAUUUGUGGAAUAUUCUUAAC
rnacentral:lncRNA from 1 species